UUCUUUACCUAGCUAACUGUCUGGAAGACUAAAUCAUGCCCUGGGUAACUCUUUCCCUGCAAAGCCUGUUUGGAAAACACAUACACCUGGGGCUAAGGCCUUUGUCUCAGUUGUUUCAGUACUUCCGGUCUGAGUUGUCUUAGUACUUCCGGUGCUGCCUGGAGUGCCAAUUGUCCGCUUACUCUUGUUUUCUCUGCUACUCGCACGAUCUGCAUGAGCAAGCAUGACUUCCGUUUUGCUCUCUGUUGGACCAUAGACUGCAUUUUACAAUCCAGCUUACAUUAGGUCUGUCCAGUUGAUGACCAAGAUUAGCCAUCACAGGUAUUAUACACAAAUCCAGUUUUCAUCGUCUGAGGACGCCAAAGAAGCCACUUUGUACAGCCAGCAAACCACCGGAAUUGGAUUAUUGAUGCUCUCCCCUUCACUAAAAGCAGACAAGCAAGGAUUUAGCUCGAACACUUAUUAAAACAUGGCGAGGCAAAACGUUAUCUUUUUUAAAAAAUCUGGGCAGUGGGUGGUUCAUAUUGUCUUACUCUCUAUGCUCUGUUGAGUGCUGGCAAUACAGUAAUUCCAACUUAUCCUUAAAAACCUUCCAAACAAGACAUGCAAAGCAGAGCAAAGAUUCUGAGGCUCAGGCUUGUCCGAGAAAAUGACCAGAGGGAGCAAUGUCGUGACCCUGCUUCCAAACUUCCUGUCCUCUCCAAGAAUGAAAGACUAUGUGGGGACCAGAGGGUGUGGGAUAGAGAGGGGUCAGUAAAUUCUUUUCUCAUGA